GAGCACGUAGGUGGGUUUGUAAGUCAGAUGUGAAAGCCUUCUGUUCAACGGAAGAAUUGCAUCUGAAACUGCGAGUCUUGAGUGUAGGAGGGGAGAAUGGAACUUCUGGUGGAGCGGUGAAAUGCGUAGAUAUCAGAAGGAACUCCGGCGGCGAAAGCGAUUCUCUGGCCUAUUACUGACACUCAGUGUGCGAAAGCUAGGGGAGCAAACGGGAUUAGAUACCCCGGUAGCCCUAGCCGUAAACGAUGGGCACUAAGUAGAGGGGUUUU
rnacentral:rRNA from 1 species